rnacentral:rRNA from 1 species
GUGAGACAGUUCGGUCCCUAUCCGCUGUGGGCGCAGGAGAUUUGAGUGGAGCUGUCCCUAGUACGAGAGGACCGGGAUGGACGUACCGCUGGUGCACCGGUUGUUCUGCCAAGGGCAUAGCCGGGUAGCUAAGUACGGAAAGGAUAAGCGCUGAAAGCAUCUAAGUGCGAAGCCCACCACAAGAAAAGAUCUCCCUGUAAGACCCGUGGGAGACUACCACGUUGAUAGGUCGGAGGUGGAAGUACAGUAAUGUAUGUAGCUGACCGAUACUAAUAGGUCGGGUGCUUGACCAA